rnacentral:sRNA from 1 species
GCAGUUCUUCACAUCCCCAGUCCCUAAAUCUUCUCUUCCGUCGUUCAUCAUUUAUGACAUUGUUUGCGCCCAAGCUCACUUUUCCUUCCUUUCCUUCUUCCUCUUCUCCGUUGGGUUAAUUUCUAGGGCUCCUUCAACUCCAAUUUCAUGGCGUUGCACUCCUCUUAUUGCGAUGUCUAGUUUCAUCGUGAGAGCUAAUUCCAACCUCGAAUACAGUGGUGAAACCACCGAAGAUGUUCCUUCCGAUAAUGUUGAUGACGUUUCGAAAGGCGAAACAGAACAACUUUCGGAUUCCGAAAAUUGCCCCAAAAAGCCAGAGUCAAGCUUGGAGACGUUAUGGGG